UCUUUUCCAAAUUAAAACAAAUCCAUGCAUGUGUUGUUACAUAGUUUUGCUUUAAAAUUUAUAUAGGUCUGUGGUGGAAAAUGUGCUUAUCAAUUUUAUGAAACUAAUAAGCUAAAACAAAUGCAUCAUAUUUUAGCUAAAAUUUGUUCCCUUACAUACGAAGAGUCAUUGUUCUACUCUUUUCAUUGGUGGCUGCCACAGGAAAAACUGAAAAAAUGUGACUUCUACCCAUGUUCAAAAAGCAGACAGACCAAGAAUCUCGUGCCUUGUCUGAUUGACCUACCCCGUGACUGAAUUUUGCAAUGAAUCCUUAUCAGGUUGUUAUACACCAUUGCAACUGGGCACCUUAAAAUUAGAUGGAAAGAACAGAGGAUGUUGCCAGAGGAUGUGCUGACUGGAUAAAAAGUAGGUUCUACCUUGUUUCAUUUUUUUUUUCUGAGCAUAGAAGCCACUUUAAAAGUUUGCAAGUCUUUAAAACAUUAGCUCCAGAUGUUUUGAAUGUGCUAAGGUGAGCAAGUGCAGUGAAAACCAUAAAACACUGUGUGAAGGCGAUUCUGAUGUGCUAUUACAUUAAAGAAAGUAGAUGGAAGUUCAGGAACAUACUGGCAAGAAACCCAAAAAGCCAAGUUUUCUACCGACUGGUUCUGAAAGGCUGGAUAAGUCAUGAUCUUCCUUGCGUCUAAAGAUGCCUACAGACUUCGGAUCAAAAUUUGUUAUCAAUUAGUGUUACCACUCUGAAUUGACAUAAUUUUGACCGGUGUCAAAGGAACAGUGUUUUAUUUAGUUCAUCCAAAAUAGAUAAAUGGGCAAUGUCUAUAAGACAUAUGGGGAUUGAAAAUAGUUCAUAGACUUCCCAUGACUACCUUGGAAGGUGGCAUGUAUAGUGAUUAAAAUAUCUAGGUUGCUUGGGUUCAAAUCAAUCAGCGAUUUACUAAUGGAAUGACCCUGUAAAAGCUUCCUCAUAUCUCUCUGCAUUUAUCUCCUCCUCAUUUUAGAAUGAAGAAUCCCAAAGCUCAUAGUUUUAUUGUAAAGGAUUAAAAAUUUUGUGCAUGUAACAUAUAUGGAAUUUCUGAAGACAGUAAGCACAUAAUAAAUGUUUGUUAUUAUUUUAUCCA
ensembl:lncRNA